AGGGUGAACGGCCACAUUGGGACUGAGACACGGACCAAACUAUUACGGGAGGCAGCAGUGGGGAAUAUUGCACAAUGGGGGAAACCCUGAUGCAGCGACGCCGCGUGAGUGAAGAAGUAUUUCGGUACGUAAAGCUCUAUCAGCAGGGAAGAAAGAAAGUCCUUUGGACUUUGGACGGUACCUGACCAAGAAGCCCCGGCUAACUACGUGCCAGCAGCCGCGGUAAUACGUAGGGGGCAAGCGUUAUCUGGAUUUACUGGGUGUAAAGGGAGCGUAGACGGCAGCGCAAGUCUGGAGUGAAAUGCCGGGGCCCAACCCCGGAACUGCUUUGGAAACUGUGCAGCUCGAGUGCAGGAGAGGUAAGCGGAAUUCCUAGUGUAGCGGUGAAAUGCGUAGAUAUUAGGAGGAACACCAGUGGCGAAGGCGGCUUACUGGACUGUAACUGACGUUGAGGCUCGAAAGCGUGGGGAGCAAACAGGAUUAGAUACCCUGGUAGUCCACGCCGUAAACGAUGAUUACUAGGUGUCGGGGGGCCAAGGCCCUCCGGUGCCGCCGCAAACG
rnacentral:rRNA from 1 species